rnacentral:rRNA from 1 species
AUACGUAGGGUGCGAGCGUUGUCCGGAAUUACUGGGCGUAAAGAGCUCGUAGGUGGUUUGUCGCGUCGUCUGUGAAAUUCCGGGGCUUAACUCCGGGCGUGCAGGCGAUACGGGCAUAACUUGAGUACUGUAGGGGAGACUGGAAUUCCUGGUGUAGCGGUGAAAUGCGCAGAUAUCAGGAGGAACACCGGUGGCGAAGGCGGGUCUCUGGGCGGUAACUGACGCUGAGGAGCGAAAGCAUGGGUAGCGAACAGGAUUAGAUACCCUGGUGGUCCAUGCCGUAAACGGUGGGCGCUAGGUGUAGGGGUCUUCCACGACUUCUGUGCCGUAGCUAACGCAUUAAGCGCCCCGCCUGGGGAGUACGGCCGCAAGGCUAAAACUCAAAUGAAUUAACGGGG